UGGGGAAUUUUGGACAAUGGGCGAAAGCCUGAUCCAGCAAUGCCGCGUGUGUGAAGAAGGCCUUCGGGUUGUAAAGCACUUUUGUCCGGAAAGAAAUCCUUGGCUCUAAUACAGUCGGGGGAUGACGGUACCGGAAGAAUAAGCACCGGCUAACUACGUGCCAGCAGCCGCGGUAAUACGUAGGGUGCAAGCGUUAAUCGGAAUUACUGGGCGUAAAGCGUGCGCAGGCGGUUUGCCAAGACCGAUGUGAAAUCCCCGGGCUCAACCUGGGAACUGCAUUGGUGACUGGCAGGCUAGAGUAUGGCAGAGGGGGGUAGAAUUCCACGUGUAGCAGUGAAAUGCGUAGAGAUGUGGAGGAAUACCGAUGGCGAAGGCAGCCCCCUGGGCCAAUACUGACGCUCAUGCACGAAAGCGUGGGGAGCAAACAGGAUUAGAUACCCUGGUAGUCCACGCCCUAAACGAUGUCAACUAGUUGUUGGGGAUUCAUUUCCUUAGUAACGUAGCUAACGCGUGAAGUUGACCGCCUGGGGGAGUACGGUCGCAAGAUUAAAACUCAAAUGAAUUGACGGGGUCAUAGCUGUUUCCU
rnacentral:rRNA from 1 species